GGCACAGUGGCUUAGUGGUCAGCAUGCUUGCCUCGCACCUCAGGGAUUGGGGUUCAAAUCGCACCUCUGCCC